UACGUAGGCAGCGAGCGUUGUUCGGAGUUACUGGGCGUAAAGGGUGUGUAGGCGGUUCUCUAAGGUUGGUGGGAAAUCUCCCGGCUCAACCGGGAGGGUGCGCCGAAAACUGGGGGACUCGAGUGCGGGAUGGGAGAGUAGAAUUCCUGGUGUAGCGGUGAAAUGCGUAGAUAUCAGGAGGAAUACCGGGGGUGUAGACGGCUCUCUGGACCGCCACUGACGCUGAGACACGAAAGCGUGGGUAGCAAACAGG
rnacentral:rRNA from 1 species